GGGUGCAGUAAUGCGUCNGACGUGCCGAGUAGCUGGGGGAUAACGCAGCGAAAGUUGUGCUAGUACCGCAUACGUACUGAGGUAAAAGUGGGGGACUUCGGGCCUCACGCUACUCGAGCGGCGACGUCUGAUUAGCUAGUAGGUGAGGUAAAGGCUCACCUAAGGCGACGAUCAGUAACGGGUCUGAGAGGAUGAUCCCCGGCACACUUGGGACUUGAGAAACGGGCCAANAAUCCUUAACAGGGAAGCGAACAGUUGGGGAAUUUUUGGGACCAUUGGGGCCGAAAGGCCNUGGAAUCCCAGCCAUGCCGCGUGUCUGAAGUAAGGCCUUCGGGUUGUAAAGGACUUUUGUCAGGGAGGAAAUCCCUAGCGUUAAUACCGCUCGGGGGAUGACAGUACCUGAAGAAUAAGCACCGGCUAACUACGUGCCAGCAGCCGCGGUAAUACGUAGGGUGCGAGCGUUAAUCGGAAUUACUGGGCGUCAAACGCGUGCGCAGGCGGCUUCUGAUAAGGCCAAUGUGAAAUCCCCCGAGGCUCCCAAAACUUUGGGGGGAACACUUNGCGGUCCUGGGGAACCUGGUCCNAGGNACCUCAAGAAGU
rnacentral:rRNA from 1 species